ACUCCUACGGGAGGCAGCAGUGGGGAAUAUUGCACAAUGGGGGAAACCCUGAUGCAGCCAUGCCGCGUGUGUGAAGAAGGCCUUCGGGUUGUAAAGCACUUUCAGUAGGGAGGAAGGUAGUGUAGUUAACACCUGCACUAUUUGACGUUACCUACAGAAGAAGCACCGGCUAACUCCGUGCCAGCAGCCGCGGUAAUACGGAGGGUGCGAGCGUUAAUCGGAAUUACUGGGCGUAAAGCGCAUGCAGGCGGCCUGUUAAGUCAGAUGUGAAAGCCCGGGGCUUAACCUCGGAAUUGCAUUUGAAACUGGUAGGCUAGAGUCUUGUAGAGGGGGGUAGAAUUUCAGGUGUAGCGGUGAAAUGCGUAGAGAUCUGAAGGAAUACCAGUGGCGAAGGCGGCCCCCUGGACAAAGACUGACGCUCAGAUGCGAAAGCGU
rnacentral:rRNA from 1 species